ACCUGCAUUCGAAAGUGAUUAUGGUACUGACCAUUACCAGAUCAUUGAUACUGCAGGAAAAUUAAAUCAAAAGAACUUCCCCGUGUUUACUGGGGCUGCAACCUCCAUUAAACCUCGUAGACUUUGAACA